rnacentral:lncRNA from 1 species
AUGUCAUCAAUACAAAGAACACACAAAGUCCAUCUCUUCUGUAUUAUUACAAGGUUGCCUUCAUUUUUAAGAAGGUUCUUUUUGGAAGUUCGAUCUAUUGUCUUCACUGUGCCAAGAAGAGAUGAAAGGAAAAGUUUGGAGGACAGUGAGAACAGAGAAAACCACUAGGUUUCUUGGGAUGAAGAAUAGAAGCCAGACAUAGGAGAACCCACUGAUAUGGACCAUCUAGGUCUGCCCACCAGGGCAGACACCAGAGUGGAGAAGGGACCUGGAGGAACAGAAUGGAGAUGCCGGGCACACCAUCCAACCUAAAGCACAUUCCUGCUGUCAUCCUCACAGAACCUUAUUCCUUUGUUUAAUUGCAGUUAGAACAAU